rfam:Brassica napus, WGS project CCCW01000000 data, contig: 9536
AGAAUAUAAGAACCUGAUUCUUAACUUUUAACUGAAAAAAGUUAAGAAUCGACUCUUAAAUAAGAGAUUUAAGAACCGACUCUUAACUUUUUCAGUUAAAAGUUAAGAGUCGAGGUCUUAUAUUCU